rnacentral:lncRNA from 1 species
GGAUGUUGGAGGCGGGUCGGUAGAGGUAGAGAGCCCAUGAUUGGGUGGUUUUGCUUUGUGCGCUGCCUAGGUGCCGAGUUUUGCUGGGUGUACGAAAGGUGGACUUGGGCUAAGAGGGCGGAGCGCACAGGUUAGACUUGGGCAAUUUCAGAGCAACUUCGUGGGCACUGAAACCUGAAGUGGCUGCGUUGUGCGGUGUACCAAUGCCCAGUCUGUCCGGGUUAGGACGUGGGCGACGGAUCUGUACCUGUUGACCAAUGAGAACUUGAGAUGCCGUGGGAACCCAGAGAAAACAUGGGUAGGGAGAUCUUCCUGGAAAGGGCUCCUGGCUGGAACCUUCAUCUUGCACUUGACCUUCUUCUGGGACAGCCCAAGUAAACUUUCUUACUGGAGUAUAAUAAUACUGUGAAGAGCACAAAUCACAAGUUUUCUGUACAGUUGAUAAAUUUUUGUGUGCUGUUUUGUGGCUGGGGAUACUGAGGCAGCUCCUAUAUCUAUGUGCUAGAUGAAAUGAGGGAAGAUAAGGGGAGAGUAAAAAGAAUGUAGAAGAAAAAAGAUGGAGAAAAAAGGGAAGAAAAUGAUGAUAAGGUAUCAAUGAUGGCAGCAGCAUUUCCUGACUUCUGUACACACUGUUCAUCCUUUGCAGUGUCAUGGUCACACACCUGUUGUCUGUAUGUGUGGCUCCACGUUGGUCCAUGUUUUCUUCACCAAUACCUCACUGUCUGGACCACUAUGGCUUUGGAAUAUAUCGUGUGCCCUGGGAGGUGGUUUCCCAUCUUGUUCUCAAGAUUGAUCUGUCCUUGUCCCUGUUACCUCCAAAGUCAAUUAUAGAAGUAAUUUAAGCUCCAUGAAAACUUCAGUGUAUACAUCAUUAAAAUGUACUUGAAAUUUUAUAUGAAGUGGAGAUAACUAGUAACCUUAUGACUUUUUAGUUAUUUGUAAUGAAUGUAUCAUAACUCUCCUUUCAUUUUGGUUUUUAAUAACUAUUAGUGAUGUUUUAUACAUUUAUUCCUAAUGAUAAUGCAUGGUUUUGUAUUUAAACUAAUGUAUCUCAUCAUCUGUUUCCU